AGUAAUGCGUGACCAACCUGCCCCAUGCUCCAGAAUAGCUCUUGGAAACGGGUGGUAAUGCUGGAUGCUCCAACUUGACGCAUGUCUUGUUGGGAAAGUGUUUAGUGGCAUGGGAUGGGGUCGCGUCCUAUCAGCUUGUAGGCGGGGUAAUGGCCCACCUAGGCUUCGACGGGUAGCCGGCCUGAGAGAGCGGACGGCCACAUUGGGACUGAGAUACGGCCCAGACUCCUACGGGAGGCAGCAGGC
rnacentral:rRNA from 1 species